AACUACGCUGGCGGCGUGCCUAACACAUGCAAGUCGUACGAGAAAGUUGGCUUCGGCCGAUGAGUAAAGUGGCGCACGGGUGAGUAAUGCGUGGAUAAUCUGCCCUUUAGUUGGGAAUAACGUACCGAAAGGUGCGCUAAUACCUGAUAAUACUGCAUAACUACUGUUGUGUAGUCAAAGAAGGCCUCUGUUUACAAGCUUUUGCUGAAGGAUGAGUCCGCGUACCAUUAGCUGGUUGGUGGGGUAAUGGCCUACCAAGGCUACGAUGGUUAGCUGGUCUGAGAGGAUGAUCAGCCACACUGGAACUGAGACACGGUCCAGACUCCUACGGGAGGCAGCAGUGAGGAAUAUUGGUCAAUGGGCGGAAGCCUGAACCAGCCAUGCCGCGUGCAGGAUGACGGCCCUACGGGUUGUAAACUGCGUUUUCCCCGGGGCGAACUAACCCCCUCGCGAGGGGGGAUGCCGGUACCGGGGGAAUAAGGAUCGGCUAACUCCGUG
rnacentral:rRNA from 1 species